rnacentral:rRNA from 1 species
AUACGUAGGGAGCGAGCGUUGUCCGGAAUUACUGGGCGUAAAGGAUGCGUAGGCGGCAUGGCAAGUCAGAUGUGAAAUCCCCGGGCUUAACUCGGGGGGUGCAUUUGAAACUGCUGUGCUCGAGUGCAGGAGAGGAAAGCGGAAUUCCUAGUGUAGCGGUGAAAUGCGUAGAUAUUAGGAGGAACACCAGUGGCGAAGGCGGCUUUCUGGACUGUAACUGACGCUGAGGCACGAAAGCGUGGGGAGCAAACAGGAUUAGAUACCCUGGUAGUCCACGCUGUAAACGAUGGAUACUAGGUGUGGGGGAGAUACUACCUCCGUGCCGGAGCAAACGCAAUAAGUAUCCCGCCUGGGGAGUACGGUCGCAAGGCUGAA